rnacentral:rRNA from 1 species
AGUGAACGCUGGCGGCAGGCCUAACACAUGCAAGUCGAACGGCAGCACAGGAGAGCUUGCUCUCUGGGUGGCGAGUGGCGGACGGGUGAGGAAUACAUCGGAAUCUACCUUGUCGUGGGGGAUAACGUAGGGAAACUUACGCUAAUACCGCAUACGACCUUCGGGUGAAAGCAGGGGACCUUCGGGCCUUGCGCGAUUAGAUGAGCCGAUGUCGGAUUAGCUAGUUGGCGGGGUAAAGGCCCACCAAGGCGACGAUCCGUAGCUGGUCUGAGAGGAUGAUCAGCCACACUGGAACUGAGACACGGUCCAGACUCCUACGGGAGGCAGCAGUGGGGAAUAUUGGACAAUGGGCGCAAGCCUGAUCCAGCCAUGCCGCGUGGGUGAAGAAGGCCUUCGGGUUGUAAAGCCCUUUUGUUGGGAAAGAAAAGCAGUCGGCCAAUACCCGAUUGUUCUGACGGUACCCAAAGAAUAAGCACCGGCUAACUCUGUGCCAGCCGCCGCCGUAAAAC